AACGCGAAGAACCUUACCUGGGCUCGAACGGCUUAAGAACAUCUUUGGAAACAUUGACUUCUCGCAAGAGACUUGAGUCGAGGUGCUGCAUGGCUGUCGUCAGCUCGUGUCGUGAGAUGUUGGGUUAAGUCCCGCAACGAGCGCAACCCUUGUCCUGUGUUGCCACUCCCGUAAGGGAAGCACUCUCAGGAGACCGCCAGCGAUAAGUUGGAGGAAGGUGGGGAUGAUGUCAAGUCAUCAUGGCCUUUAUGUCCAGGGCUACACACGUGCUACAAUGGGCGGUACAAAGCGCUGCAAACCCGCGAGGGGGAGCCAAUCGCAAAAAACCGUCCUCAGUUCGGAUCGCAGGCUGCAACUCGCCUGCGUGAAGCUGGAAUCGCUAGUAAUGGCGCAUCAGAACGGCGCCGUGAAUACGUUCCCGGGCCUUGUA
rnacentral:rRNA from 1 species